UGGUUGUCCAUUCUUAGAAAAAUAAAAGCAGAACAUGUUUAAUUGUUUACUUCCCAUGUUGGAAAACUUGUAUCAAAUUCCUACGCGUAGCGAGUGAUCUGGAUUGAUCAGUUGCGAGCCGCUAGUGGACCUAUAAUCAGAUGUGAGCUGCGAGCAAAUUUAACCAAAGCCAUCGUGUCAAAAUAAAAGUUAUUUCCAAAGGAAAUUUUUUCACGACAUUUUUACGAUCAUUUUCCGCUUUUGGGCGGUUUGUUGAUAAUAGCAAUGUCAAAUUCAACAAAUUUUUCAAAACGUGACGUCCGACAUUUUUGCUGUCUUGAAAAUUUUUUUCCUUUGCCCCCCCCCCGGUAAAUUCCUUAAAAAGGACUGACAGCUACUUUUUAAAAAAGUAGUCAAAACUUACUCGCUAUUUGUAAAUUGUAGUUCGUUACAGCAGCGAAACGUAAAACAUUACAGAACGGCGAACAUGCAGAUUUAGCCAUCUCAAAUAAUGGUAAUGUUAGGAUAGUAGCG
rnacentral:lncRNA from 1 species